AGGGCGGGGCCAGGCGGAACCCCCGCGCGCCCAAGAUCCCCUCCCGCGUGGGGGCCGCAGGCGGAAGCUGAGGCCGGAGGUCGCCCGGCUGGCGGGAGCGGGACCUCGAGUAAGACUCUGUAGGCGCCCCUUGGGGCUGGCGUGUGUUGCUCGGGGGCUUGAGGGUCAGGGUCAGCGUGCCCCAGCUUUCUGUGCCAGCUCUGCGCCCCGCGUCGGGUGUGCCUCCGCUAAAGGAGGUUUCCAUCCUGGCCCGGGCUGUUCUUUUCUUGCCCUGCCUCGCCUCCCUUUCCUGAGCAGACCUUCUGGGUUCCGUAAAAGUCGUGAGAGCAGACAGCCAUGGUCAUUAACCCCUCGCUGAAGGGGGGGCGGUGAUGAAGGUUGGAGACACCUGCAAGGGGUGCACCUCGCGCCCCUGCAUCCUCGCGGCUCCGUGAAGACAGUGCUCCCGGGGGCGGCGUCUCACCUGGAAGGUUCUCUGCAGACCAAGGGUUUGGGCAGUUACCCGCCUGGCGAGCCUGGCCUUGCUCGGGGAGAGGUGGCGGGCGCCCUGACCUCUCCCAGGUACUCGGCUCUGAAGAAAAACGGGACAGGAGAGACAACCAGACUGGGGAGACUGGUACCAUCGGUUCGCAGGGAAGAACACGCUGUCAUUCAAAAGUGUUCAAAACGGCAUCUCACUUAAUCCUCAGAAAUUAUUCAUCCAUUCAACAAAUGUCGGGUGAGUGUCUGCACUGUCCUGGAUGCAGUCUUCAGUAGGAGUGCAUCAGGGGACCCCCGGGUCGCGGCCCCUCACAGCUUAGACCCUGCCCAGGGACCUGAGUCAGGGGACGGAGUGAGGACGGUCUGUGCUCUGGAGGAUAGUCAGGUGGCAUCACGGCCAGCCCCUGUGUUUUGAAGGAGGGGGCCACCAUUCGGCUCACGGCAACCCCCACCCCUCUCCGGACCUCGGCUUCCAGCAGCCCGCGGUGGGGCGCGACCUGGUACCUACUGUCCCUGUUGACGUGGUGAUGGGUGCUGGGGGCGGGGCCGGGGUUCCAUCCUGGGGGAGCAGAAGGCGGUGCGUGCGGAAAACAGUGCUCCGUGGAGUGUUAGCGGUCCCUUGAGUGUGAGCAGCGUGAAACUCUCAAGAUUCUUCUUCCGGGGGUCUCGUUUUCCCUUCCCACCAGACCUGGCGUGGAAUACACUGUGCAAAACGUGCUCCUUCCACGCUUCUGAAACACCAAGUCGAUUUCUAGGGCUUGUUAGAUAUUGCAAACGUGGGUAAAAACACAGGCACAUUGUGGCUUGGCACCCAAGCCCGGCAGAGGUUUGGAGACGCCUCCUUCAGGAGGGGUUGAAGCCCUCCUUCCAGCUCAGGGUGCUGUCCCUGCCAGGCCCCAUCCCCAGCGGCUUGGAAAGUGGGGUUUGCAGAGGGGGUUGGGGGUCUGGUGUUGUUUCGUUCCAUUCCUGAUCCAAUCGUCCUCUCCCCCCACACACACCCGUGCUGUGUGUCCUUCCAACAAGUACU
rnacentral:lncRNA from 1 species